GAAAUGUUGGGUUAAGUCCCGCAACGAGCGCAACCCUUAUCCUUUGUUGCCAGCGGUUCGGCCGGGAACUCAAAGGAGACUGCCAGUGAUAAACUGGAGGAAGGUGGGGAUGACGUCAAGUCAUCAUGGCCCUUACGAGUAGGGCUACACACGUGCUACAAUGGCGUAUACAAAGAGAAGCGACCUCGCGAGAGCAAGCGGACCUCAUAAAGUACGUCGUAGUCCGGAUUGGAGUCUGCAACUCGACUCCAUGAAGUCGGAAUCGCUAGUAAUCGUAGAUCAGAAUGCUACGGUGAAUACGUUCCCGGGUCUUGUACACACCG
rnacentral:rRNA from 1 species